rnacentral:misc_RNA from 1 species
AAGUAAUCAGGUCUACAUAAAAUCUCUCGAAGUUUCCUCCUUCAUUUAUACAUCCCCUCCCUGCAGAAGUCUUACAAGAUAAUUUUCCUCUCCCCCUAAGUCCAAAACCACCAUCUCCCUCUAAUUGCCACACAGAACAAGAGCAAACACUUGGGCGAGUUCCCUUUUUUUUUCCGGGGAAAAUCGUUUUCGGUGCUUCGCGAUUGCUAUGUGCGACUGUCGGUGGUUAGAGAUCAGUUUUGUCUAGCAGUGGCGGAUUUCUGAAGAUUGCGGUUCUGGUGGUGUGUUAGAGAUGGAUCGGGAAGGAGGAUCCAACGGCGGAUCUUGCUACUACUCUGUUCUGGGGAUUCGCAGGGACGCCUCCUUCUCUGAUAUCCGCACUGCUUAUCGCAAACUCGCUAUGGUAAAGACUUCAAAAAACGCCUUCGUUUCUCUCCCCUUUCCAAUUGCCGAAUUCAUUACUCACGUUUGUAGUUUUAGCUAAUUUGUGAUUUUUCUUUUUAAUAAUUGUGGUUAAAAUUGUUUAUUUUUUGGGGGGGCAUUUAAUUAAUGGGCAAUUGAAGAAAUGGCAUCCAGACAAGUGGGCCCGAAAUCCGGGGGUGGCCGGAGAGGCAAAACGGCGGUUUCAGCAAAUCCAAGAAGCGUACUCCGGUACUUUAGCUUCCCCCUCAAAAAGAUAUCUUAACGAUGAAAGUUGCCGUUACAUCGUUUAUUACAUACGCGCUUCUGCCGUUAACUAUCCGUUUGGUUUUUACAGUUCUCUCAGACCUUCCAAAGAGGUCAAUGUACGAUGCUGGGCUUUAUGAUCCUCUGGAGGGAGAAGAUGAAGUUCGUAUAAAUAUCUUUAUCUAGAUUUUGACGAGGCUGAUUCCCUCGUCCUCAAGCUAACCUUGGAAAACGGUGGUGUUCUGGUUAGAACACCAGAACCACAUCGUUUUAACCAUUGGUUUUUGGUUUUGGGGGGUAGUGGUGGGGUUGCAAUUUCGUUUCUUUUUUUAAUUUGUUGUUAAUUGCCUGAUCGACGCCCCGAACUUUGUAAUUUUUUGCAAAAUAGGACUUUUGUGACUUCAUGCAAGAGAUGAUUUCCAUGAUGAACAAUGUGAAAGACGAGGAAGAUAGCUUUGAAGAUCUCCAGAGGAUGUUCGUGGAAAUGGUGGGUGGAGAUAGCGUGGGCUUCGACCUCAAUGAGGAUCCAACGGAUAGGAAGAGGGCACGCGUCAAUGCAUCGAAAGGUAAUGCGGCGAAGCGCAACACCUCUCGCUGUUGAUGCACUAGUGAAUCUUUCGUUCGCCUUGCUGCGUGCCAUUGUAAGGUGUAAUUUGGGGGGAAUUGGGUGCUUUAUUGGCUAGUUUAGGUAGCGUGGGCUUAUUAACUUUGUCAUUCUGGCAGCACCUUAUGAAAAGCUUGGAAGCUAUUGAUAGGAGGAUGGUUUGAUGGAAUAAAAAAAUGCCCCUUUUAUUUAUGUGUGCUUUUGGGUUAAUAGGAUUGAAAAUUAAAGAGGCAGAGCAUGCGGUGGCCUGCGUAUAUAGUUUCACUUGGGUUGCCAAUGAGAUGGCGAAAGAUAUGAAGGUGUGUGCUGAAACACAAUUGACACCUGCAAAUGCAUGCCGAAACAUAACGAUGAAUUUACGAAACGUGUUAUCAGUUUCGAGGACCCAUCUCACGCAUGUAAGAUGAUGGCCAUUGUCUUGUCGAGUUAAGAAAAUGAGGCCAUAGAGUUUACAAAUUUUUAAUUUUUUUUUUUUUGUAAGCUGUUACCUUGGGCCUGCCAGUAACUGUUGGAUCGAAAACCAAGUUGUGUUGAGGUCCAUCUUACAUGGUUCCAGUACUAGGGAAUUGGGAUGGUGUGUAAAAUGCCUCUUGGGAAGACGGUGAUGGUUGGUAUUGGUGGGUCAGGGGUACUCGGUGUGAUUAAAG